UACGUAGGUGGCAAGCGUUGUCCGGAUUUACUGGGCGUAAAGAGCGCGCAGGCGGUCGUUCAAGUCGCGUGUGAAAGCCCCCGGCUCAACUGGGGAGGGUCACGCGAUACUGAUCGACUCGAAGGCAGGAGAGGGUAGUGGAAUUCCGGGUGUAGCGGUGGAAUGCGUAGAGAUCCGGAAGAACACCGGUGGCGAAGGCGGCCUGCUGGGCUAUGGCUGACACUGAGGCGCGACAGCGUGGGGAGCAAACAGG
rnacentral:rRNA from 1 species